rnacentral:rRNA from 1 species
UACGUAGGGUGCGAGCGUUGUCCGGAAUUACUGGGCGUAAAGAGCUCGUAGGUGGUUUGUCGCGUUGUCCGUGAAAUCUCCCGGCUUAACUGGGAGGGUGCGCCGAAGACUGGAAGGCUUGAGUAUGGGAGAGGUAAGCGGAAUUCCUGGUGUAGCGGUGAAAUGCGUAGAUAUCAGGAGGAACACCUGCGGUGUAGACGGCUUACUGGACCAUAACUGACGCUGAGGCACGAAAGCGUGGGUAGCAAACAGG